GACGAAUGCUGGCUGCGUGCUUAACACAUGUAAGUCGAACGGUGAACCAGGGCUUGCCCUGGGGAUCAGUGGCGAACGGGUGAGGAACACGUGGGCAACCUGCCCCUCACUCUGGGAUAACUCCGGGAAACCGGGGCUUAUAACGGAUAUGACCUGGUGCGACAUCACACCAGGUGGAAAGAAUUUCGGUGAGGGAUGGGCCCGCGGCCUAUCAGCUUGUUGGUGGGGUAACGGCCCACCAAGGCGACGACGGGUAGCCGGCCUGAGAGGGCGACCGGCCACACUGGGACUGAGACACGGCCCAGACUCCUACGGGAGGCAGCAGUGGGGAAUAUUGCGCAAUGGGCGAAAGCCUGACGCAGCGACGCAGCGUGAGGGACGACGGCCUUCGGGUUGUAAACCUCUUUCAGCGGGGACGAAGCGAAAGUGACGGUACCCGCAGAAGAGGCACCGGCUAACUACGUGCCAGCCGCCGCCGUAACAC
rnacentral:rRNA from 1 species